GAUGAACGCUGGCGGUAUGCUUAACACAUGCAAGUCGAACGGACUCUUCGGAGUUAGUGGCGGACGGGUGAGUAACGCGUGAGAAUCUGGCUUUGGGUUCGGGACAACCACUGGAAACGGAGGCUAAUACCGGAUGUGCCGAGAGGUAAAAGAGAAAUUGCCUGAAGAUGAGCUCGCGUCUGAUUAGCUAGUUGGUGAGGUAAAGGCUCACCAAGGCAGCGAUCAGUAGCUGGUCUGAGUGGAUGACCAGCCACACUGGGACUGAGACACGGCCCAGACUCCUACGGGAGGCAGCAGUGGGGAAUUGUCCGAAAUGGGCGAAAGCCUGACGGAGCAAUACCGCGUGAGGGAAGAAGGCUCUUGGGUUGUAAACCUCUUUCCUUAGGGAAGAACAAAAUGACGGUACCUAAGGAAUCAGCAUCGGCUAACUCCGUG
rnacentral:rRNA from 1 species